rnacentral:rRNA from 1 species
UCUGGUGGCGAUGCGCUUAGGGGACACACCCGUUCCCAUCCCGAACACGAUGGUUAAGACCUAAGCGGCCGAUGGUACUUUACUGGAGACGGUACGGGAGAGUAGGUGGCUGCCAGAG